rnacentral:lncRNA from 1 species
UUUUAAGAUUUAUUAUAGUUCCUUCCAUGUAGUGGAAUGUCUGUGAUUAGAAUCUAUGCCUAACUAAUAACUAGCUCCGUAUUUUUUUAAGAUUUUAUUUAUUUAUUUGACAGACAGAGAUAACAAGUAGGCAGAGAGGCAGGCAGAGAGAGAGGAGGAAGUAGGCUCUCCUCAGAGUCAUUUUUGGUCAAAGAGUAGAAAUAAGAAAAUUCUGUUUGAUUUUACAGGGGUGAGAGGAUCUCUCCUGCUUAAUUGAGAUGAUGAAGGACCAAUAAGAGAGCAGUUUUUGAAAUCCAGUUCCAAGGAUAUAUUUGUUUUAGAUGUGAAUGCUGAUUAAUGACUUCAGGUGUUAAAUGCAGCAAGUCCAUCUAUGCCAAAAAAAUGGUGAACAUCUCAUAUAUGUUGCAGUCAUGCUAUUGAUAAAAUUGGCCAUUAUGAAUAGUUUGUGAGUGAUCAUGAAGAACGUGUGAUUUAGAGACUAGUACAGCAGAGUUUUACACACUGAAACAGUAUUGUGGGAUACACGAAAAGAAUAUGGGAGAAGAUGGGAUAUGAGGUAGGUGCUAAAAUAUUGUAUUUGGGUUUACAAACACAUGAAUGAUUAGAAUUAACUGAAAUUUUUAUUGUCUUAUGUUAGUCACUACAACAUUACAUCAUUAGUUUUUAUAUAGUGUUCCACUAUUCAUAG